CUUAAUGUCAUGGGAAGCUUGUUCCAUUCUUUUGCCGCAGCAACAGUAAAACUACGUUCACCAGCCUUACUCCGGGUUGUCUGAUAGGUUAGUCGAAGAUGAUCUCCACUAGACCGCAAACCUUCUCGUUUAGGAUAAUGAACCUGAAGUGCCCCCUUGAUAUACAUUGGUACAUGAUCAUGAAAUGAUUUAUAUACAUACAAAAGAAUCUUAAAUAAUAUUAUUUGUUUAACUGGUAGCCAGUUAUUCAUUCAAG